rnacentral:rRNA from 1 species
CCCUUAGAUGUUCUGGGCCGCACGCGCGCUACACUGACGAAUGCAACGAGCUUAUAACCUUGGCCGAAAGGUCUGGGUAAUCUCCAAAUUUCGUCGUGAUGGGGAUAGAUUAUUGCAAUUAUUAAUCUUCAACGAGGAAUGCCUAGUAAGCGCAAGUCAUCAGCUUGCGUUGAUUACGUCCCUGCCCUUUGUACACACCGCCCGUCGCUCCUACCGAUUGAAUGGUCCGGUGAAGCGUUCGGACCGUUUGCAUAGAUGGUUCGCCAUCUUUGCGAAUGGAAAGUCGAGUGAACCUUACUGCUUAGAUGAAGGAGAAGUCGUAACA